rnacentral:rRNA from 1 species
CAGGCUUAACACAUGCAAGUCCAUUGGCAGCAUCAUCAAAGCUUGCUUUGAUGGAUGGCGACCGGCGCACGGGUGAGUAACACGUAUCCAACCUGCCGACAACACUGGGAUAGCCUUUCGAAAGAAAGAUUAAUACCGGAUGGUAUAGUUUUCCCGCAUGGGAUAAUUAUUAAAGAAUUUCGGUUGUCGAUGGGGAUGCGUUCCAUUAGGCAGUUGGCGGGGUAACGGCCCACCAAACCUACGAUGGAUAGGGGUUCUGAGAGGAAGGUCCCCCACAUUGGAACUGAGACACGGUCCAAACUCCUACGGGAGGCAGCAGUGAGGAAUAUUGGUCAAUGGACGAGAGUCUGAACCAGCCAAGUAGCGUGAAGGAUGACUGCCCUAUGGGUUGUAAACUUCUUUUAUACGGGAAUAAAGUUAGCCACGUGUGGUUUUUUUGUAUGUACCGUAUGAAUAAGGAUCGGCUAACUCCGUGCCAGCAGCCGCGGUAAUACGGAGGAUCCGAGCGUUAUCCGGAUUUAUUGGGUUUAAAGGGAGCGUAGGCGGGUUGUUAAGUCAGUUGUGAAAGUUUGCGGCUCAACCGUAAAAUUGCAGUUGAUACUGGCGACCUUGAGUGCAACAGAGGUAGGCGGAAUUCGUGGUGUAGCGGUGAAAUGCUUAGAUAUCACGAAGAACUCCGAUUGCGAAGGCAGCUUACUGGAUUGUAACUGACGCUGAUGCUCGAAAGUGUGGGUAUCAAACAGGAUUAGAUACCCUGGUAGUCCACACAGUAAACGAUGAAUACUCGCUGUUGGCGAUAUACAGUCAGCGGCCAAGCGAAAGCAUUAAGUAUUCCACCUGGGGAGUACGCCGGCAACGGUGAAACUCAAAGGAAUUGACGGGGGCCCGCACAAGCGGAGGAACAUGUGGUUUAAUUCGAUGAUACGCGAGGAACCUUACCCGGGCUUAAAUUGCAACUGACGGAACCGGAAACGGUUCUUUCUUCGGACAGUUGUGAAGGUGCUGCAUGGUUGUCGUCAGCUCGUGCCGUGAGGUGUCGGCUUAAGUGCCAUAACGAGCGCAACCCUUACGGGUAGUUACCAUCAGGUUAUGCUGGGGACUCUACCCGGACUGCCGUCGUAAGAUGUGAGGAAGGUGGGGAUGACGUCAAAUCAGCACGGCCCUUACGUCCGGGGCUACACACGUGUUACAAUGGGGGGUACAGAAGGCAGCUACACGGCGACGUGGUGCUAAUCCCAAAAGCCUCUCUCAGUUCGGAUUGGAGUCUGCAACCCGACUCCAUGAAGCUGGAUUCGCUAGUAAUCGCGCAUCAGCCACGGCGCGGUGAAUACGUUCCCGGGCCUUGUACACACCGCCCGUCAAGCCAUGAAAGCCGGGGGUACCUGAAGUACGUAACCGCGAGGAGCGUCCUAGGGUAAAACUCG